rnacentral:rRNA from 1 species
UACGUAGGGUGCGAGCGUUAAUCGGAAUUACUGGGCGUAAAGCGUGCGCAGGCGGCUAUGCAAGACAGAUGUGAAAUCCCCGGGCUCAACCUGGGAACUGCAUUUGUGACUGCAUAGCUAGAGUACGGUAGAGGGGGAUGGAAUUCCGCGUGUAGCAGUGAAAUGCGUAGAUAUGCGGAGGAACACCGAUGGCGAAGGCAAUCCCCUGGACCUGUACUGACGCUCAUGCACGAAAGCGUGGGGGAGCAAACAG